CACGUAGGGCGCAAGCGUUGUCCGGAAUUAUUGGGCGGAAAGAGCUCGUAGGUGGGUUGCUGCGUCCGCUGUGAAAACCCAAGGCUUAACCUUGGGCUUGCAGUGGAUACGGGCAGACUAGAGGUAGGUAGGGGAGAAUGGAAUUCCCGGUGUAGCGGUGAAAUGCGCAGAUAUCGGGAGGAACACCGGUGGCGAAGGCGGUUCUCUGGGCCUUACCUGACACUGAGGAGCGAAAGCGUGGGGAGCGAACAGG
rnacentral:rRNA from 1 species